UCCCUGGUAGUCCAGUGGUUUAAGACGCUGCGCUCCCAAUGCAGGGGCCCCAGGUUUGAUCCCUGGUCGGGGAA